UAUUUGGAUGAUUCAGUAGUGAACUGGUGCCCACAAUUAGGGACGGUUUUAGCGAAUGACGAGGUCAAAGACGGCGUUUCUGAGCGUGGCGGUUAUCCAGUGGAGCAGAAAAAAAUGCGCCAAUGGUCGAUGCGCAUCACGGCCUAUGCAGAUCGUUUAUUACGUGGUUUAGAGGAGGUAGAUUGGUCGGAUUCCUUGAAAGAACAACAACGCAAUUGGAUUGGAAAAUCAAUCGGUACAGAUGUGGAAUUUGCCAUUGAGGGUAUUUCGGAUAAGAAAAUCAAGGUGUUUACGACGCGUGUAGAUACGAUUUAUGGAGUUUCUUUCAUGGUGUUAGCGCCAGAGCAUGAAUGGGUGGCGGAAUUAACAAAGCCAGAACAACAGGCUGACGUGGAUGCCUACAUCACAUGGACGAAAUCUCGUUCGGAAUUAGAUCGUGUUUCAGAAGUUAAAACCGUUUCAGGGGUAUUCACAGGUUCUUAUGUGAUUAACCCAUUGAAUGAUGAGCGUGUGAGGGGUAAGCGGAACUCAUAGUGUAGGGGUGAAAUCCGUUGAUAUUAUGGGGAACACCAAAAGCGAAGGCAGCUUACUGGCACAUUACUGACACUGAGACACGAAAGCGUGGGUAGCGAAUGGGAUUAGAUACCCCAGUAGUCCACGCCCUAAACGAUGUUCUCUCGCUAUAUUGAGUAUCGACCCUCAAUGUGGCUUAGCUAACGCGGUAAGAGAACCGCCUGGGAAGUACGAUCGCAAGAUUAAAACUCAAAGGAAUAGACGGGGAGACGCACAAGCAGUGGAUUAUGUGGUUUAAUUCGACGGUAAACGAAGAACCUCACCAGGAUUUGAAACCAAGUUGAAAGGUCUAGAAAUAGAUCCCUCGCAAGACAAUUUGGCAGGUGAUGCAUGGCCGUCGUCAGUUCGUGGUUUGAGCUGUUCCCUUCAGUGGGGUAACGAACGCAACCCUCAUCGUAUGUUAUACGUGUCAUACGAGACUGCCCCUCAUCGGGGGAGGAAGGCGAGGAUGACGCCAGGUCAGCAUGUCCCUUUGACAUCCUGGGCUACACACAUAAUACAAUGGCGACCACAACGCGUUGCGACGUCGUAAGACCGAGCUAAUCGUAAUAAAAGUCGCCCCAGUUCAGAUUGGGGGCUGAAACUCGACCCCAUGAAGUUGGAUUUGCUAGUAAUCGCGGGUCAGCUAUACCUCGGUGAAUACGUUCUCAAGUCUUGUACUCACAAUAAAAGCGCGCAGCAGCUAAAGUUUCUAAGUGGUUAAAAUCCAUUAUCUAAAAACCUUAUCGUGACUG
rnacentral:rRNA from 1 species